rnacentral:rRNA from 1 species
UACGUAGGUGACAAGCGUUGUCCGGAUUUACUGGGCGUAAAGAGCGCGCAGGCGGUCGAUCAAGUCGAGUGUGAAAGCCCCCGGCUCAACUGGGGAGGGUCAUUCGAUACUGAUCGACUCGAAGGCAGGAGAGGGUAGUGGAAUUCCCGGUGUAGUGGUGAAAUGCGUAGAUAUUGGGAAGAACACCGAUGGCGAAGGCAGCCAUCUGGACCGACACUGACGCUGAGGCGCGAAAGCGUGGGGAGCAAACAGG